UUUUGUUCUGUUUUGUUUUGUUCUGUUUUGUUUUGUUUUGUUUUGCUCGGUUUUGUUCUGUUUUGUUUUGUUUUGCUCUGUUUUGUUUUGUUUUGCUCGGUUUUGUUUUGCUCUGUUUUGUUUUGUUUUGCUCGGUUUUGUUUUGCUAUGCUUCGCUUCGCUUCAUGUUUGGUGUCCAGCCAGGCCUCCGUCUAAUACCCAAGUGAGUGGGAAGGUCCCUUCUUUCUUCUUUUGUUGUUGUUGUUUUAUUUGUGUUGGUUACUGUCACUAAGAUCAGUUUUCUUGAAUUAAACUGUGUUGUAACAGUCUUCAUCAGUUAUGCUGAUACUGCUAUGUGGUAGUAGUGGUUUUGGUCAGUGUUGGUAAACAUUCUAGCUGUAAUCACUCUGAGCUCGGGGUUAUCUGUGUUUGUGACAGAGCUGAGUGCUUCCUUGUGUUUCUUUUAUUUGACCAAUGCCUGACUGCGUUGGUUGCUGUUUUAUUAUUGUUAUUAUUAUUAUGAUUAUUAUAAUUAUUAUAAUUAUUG
ensembl:lncRNA